AACAUAGGAGACAAACGUUAUCCGGAAUUACUGGGCGUAAAGCGUGCGCAGGCGGUUCGCAAAGACAGGUGUGAAAUCCCCGGGCUUAACCUGGGAACUGCGCUUGUAACUAGCGGGCUAGAGUACGGCAGAGGGGGGUGGAAUUCCACGUGUAGCAGUGAAAUGCGUAGAGAUGUGGAGGAACACCGAUGGCGAAGGCAGCCCCCUGGGCUAGUACUGACGCUCAUGCACAAAAGCGUGGGGAGCAAACAGG
rnacentral:rRNA from 1 species